rnacentral:tRNA from 1 species
GGUAGGGUGACCUAGUGGCUAGGGCACUGGACCCGAAUUCAGGAUGCCUGGGUUCUGUUCCCGGCUCUGCCA